rnacentral:rRNA from 1 species
GAUGAACGCUGGCGGCGUGCUUAACACAUGCAAGUCGAACGAUGAAGCCCAGCUUGCUGGGUGGAUUAGUGGCGAACGGGUGAGUAACACGUGAGUAACCUGCCCUUAACUCUGGGAUAAGCCUGGGAAACUGGGUCUAAUACCGGAUAGGAGCGUCCACCGCAUGGUGGGUGUUGGAAAGAUUUAUCGGUUUUGGAUGGACUCGCGGCCUAUCAGCUUGUUGGUGAGGUAAUGGCUCACCAAGGCGACGACGGGUAGCCGGCCUGAGAGGGUGACCGGCCACACUGGGACUGAGACACGGCCCAGACUCCUACGGGAGGCAGCAGUGGGGAAUAUUGCACAAUGGGCGCAAGCCUGAUGCAGCGACGCCGCGUGAGGGAUGACGGCCUUCGGGUUGUAAACCUCUUUCAGUAGGGAAGAAGCGAAAGUGACGGUACCUGCAGAAGAAGCACCGGCUAACUACGUGCCAGCAGCCGCGGUAAUACGUAGGGUGCGAGCGUUAUCCGGAAUUAUUGGGCGUAAAGAGCUCGUAGGCGGUUUGUCGCGUCUGUCGUGAAAGUCCGGGGCUUAACCCCGGAUCUGCGGUGGGUACGGGCAGACUAGAGUGCAGUAGGGGAGACUGGAAUUCCUGGUGUAGCGGUGGAAUGCGCAGAUAUCAGGAGGAACACCGAUGGCGAAGGCAGGUCUCUGGGCUGUAACUGACGCUGAGGAGCGAAAGCAUGGGGAGCGAACAGGAUUAGAUACCCUGGUAGUCCAUGCCGUAAACGUUGGGCACUAGGUGUGGGGACCAUUCCACGGUUUCCGCGCCGCAGCUAACGCAUUAAGUGCCCCGCCUGGGGAGUACGGCCGCAAGGCUA